rnacentral:lncRNA from 1 species
CUAAAAUAUAUUACUAAAAUAGGGGCAUUUGGGUAAUAACAUAGAUUCUUACUCAGAUUAUGUGAAUUAGUAGAUAACUUAUAUGGUUCAAUACUAUUCCUACUUUGAUUCCUGAAAAUUUUAGUAAAAAGUUUUGCCACGCCUUAGACCCGUGGUCGAUGAAAAAAUAAACCUGCGCCCGAUGCACGAGUAAAAGUAAAAAUAAAAUCGAAAAACAAACUUCUCUUAUAAAAUAACUCCAAAAUUUUUACAGGGUGUACAAAAAUAAAAUAUAAACCUUAAAAUCCCUCAUUGAACACAAUCUUAGCUCUUCUACCCUUCGUUAAUCUUGUACCACACCUGCAAGGUCUAAAAUAUAUAGGGUGAGUGAGACCAUAGCUCAGAGGGACAUAAGUCUUAUCAAGGAUAAUUGUCAAGGCUAAACCGAGUGUCAUGCAGCACAUAAACAAUUAUAACCAUGGAUGGAGGGAGGUAAGGCCUAGUGGGGGCACAUGCCCCCUCUCAUCCCCUUUGUUUCAUUACAAAUUAAUCAUGCUUUGUGGAUUAUUCAAUUAAUCAUAUUAAAAAUAGUGAAAAUGCUCUUUUAGUUUUUAAAUGCCCCUCUGUCUUGUAUAUUUUUUCUCAUGCACUAAUGUCUAAACCUUGUUGAGUUGCAUGUACUUGGUUAAUUAGUACAAAUGAGCAUUAGAUUGUCAACAAUUAAAGACAAAAUUAGACAAUAGAGUAAUAAAAUUAGGCAUUUUGUAAUUAAUUUUUUCAGCAUUUGUAAAAGAACUAGCUUUAUUUGUCCAAAAAAAGAGCUCAAAUUUUUUAAGAUGCCCCCUCUUAGUUAAAUUUCUGGCUUCGUCCCUGAUUAUAACAUUUUGUAUCAUUAAUCACAAUUUAACUAAUAAACCAGGAAUGUAGCUUAACUUCAAUCACCUAGUCCAUCAAUUUAUAUAAUAAAAACGCGUGGAUCUACACGUCCCAUACUAUGCAUUUUACCACUAUAGGGGUGGUCCAAAUGCUCUAAUAUACAAACUAACCCCGACAACUCAAUCAUCCCAGUUCUCA